GCUCUGCCCCGGUGAGGAGUGGGAAUGGCUCUGUCCUCCGUGAGGGCUGAGGGCGCGGCUGCUUCUCUCUCCCUCUGAAGGGCGGGGGCCGGUUCUGUCCUGGGCGCUGCUGGGGAUAAAGGAGCUCGGCUGCCGCUGUGGGGCACUGAGGGGAAGCAGCGGGAGCAGGGAGGCUGAGCGCUCUCCCAACAAAACUGCUCUCAGAGGUGUGUUUAAGCACGCUUAGCAUUUAGCUGCUUUUUGAGAGGGAAAGCAGCGGGAUGCUGAACGUGGUAUGUAUGAACAGAGGGCAAACAGCUGCGACAGAUCAAGACUCUGCAAGUCCCUAACAGGAGGGUGUAGCCAGGUGGGGGUCAGCCUCUUCUCACAGGCGACGAGAGGACACAGUAUUCAGGUGGGCCAGGGGAGGCUUGUGUUGAAUAUCACGGAUUUGUUCACUGAAAGGGUGAUUAGACAUUGAAGUGGGCUGCCUAGGGAGGUGCUGGGGUCACCGUCCCUGGAGGUGUUUGGGGAAAGAUUGGAGGUGGCACUCGGUGGAUGGUCUGGUUGACAUGGUGGUUUUCACUCAAAGGUUGGACUCGAUGACCUCAGAGAUCUUUUCCAAUCGAAUGGAUUGUGUGAUCAUGAACCCAAAGUCUUACAAGGCACGAAGCGGGGCCCAAGAGCAGGAGUGUGGGGACACCGAGGGAAACAGUACUCGUCCUUCACGUGAGCAAACUCUUCUGCCCCUCACCAGACUGCACAGCAGCAUCCGCCUGCCCAGGGGCACCUGAGGGCACCCAGACAUAAAUGCAUCUUCCUUCACACCAGUGGGUCAGGCAGCUACAAACAACUUCAUUUCACUACCAGAACAUCCGGCAGCUGGACAGCAAACUCUAACCUUAGGAAAAUUGUGACUGUGCCAGAAUUUCUGUCUAGCUUACUGUGAUUAAUAGACCUCAGACUGUAAGGAGGGAAUAUUGAUAUCAUAAAUAACACACUUCAUAAGGAAGGUUAAUUUUCAGACUAUCCAGAAGUAAUCUACAGACCCUUAAAAGUCAUAGGCAGGCUGAAAAUGAAGAUAAUUCUCCCAACACUGCCAGCAAAAUAACUUGUGGAGCAAUGUUUUCCCUAGGGAGCUCACAUAAGUAACAACAGAAGAAACUGUUUCCAGGAGAAUUAUCCUGGUUUAUAUUUAGCCUGGAUUGACCUAUUUCAGUGUGCAGUCACAUGCACACCCUUCUACCUGGCCUCAUCCUCCCUGUGAGCUGCUGAGUGUUCCUGUGGUCACGGAAUGCAACGUGCAUGUAAGAACCUCUGAUGAAAGGCAGCAGGCAAAGAUUUUAUGUCUGAUUCAACAGGAAAACAACAACAAAAAAAUCAAGUAGGAAAAGCAUAUAACAUGAAAAUAUACAAAUUAAGCCACUGUAUUCCUGCCAACAAAGCUGAGAGAACACACUUGGUAACUCCCCUGGGAUAGUAGGGAUAUGAGUAACUCAGAAUUCACAAAGAAAUUCAGCUGGAAUUAACCUGGAAAUCACAUUAGUCAAGCACCCACCUCACAUUACCUAAGGGAUUGACUUUGUAGCCUUCCUAGUACCAGCAUCUGAAAACAGGUUUUUGCUUUAUAGUUGUACUAUGAUGAAUGAGCUUCUCAGGCAUAUUUAAGUCACAACUACCCUCCCCCUUGGUUUGGCUGGUGGUUUUUUUAGGGUUUUAUGACUGUUCAUUGACAUCCAGGGCUGCCCUUCCCAAGAGCCACAGGCAGAAAAUGUAGCAUUUCUAACUAUACAGCUCCCAUAGAUAAAAUGUUAACAAUUAUUUGAAAAUGUAUGGAAGAAACAUACAAGCCAGAGAUCCAAUUCAAAACUAUUCUACAAUUCAGUUAAUUCUGGCUGAAAGCAAACAUUAAAAUAGUAAGAAUCUGGAAAGAUGGGUGUUUUAUUCCUCUGAAAUAGUUUUUAGAUCACCUGAAGACUAUAGCCCUAAGGUACAGACAAUUUGUUCUCAGUUCAUUUUAGAAGACAAAACCCCAAAAGAACAAUUUUGAGUUUCAGAAAGAUUUAGAGUACUCUACAUGUAUGUACUUUAUACAUUUCACCAUCGUGACAACUGAUAGGAAGUUAUUGUCAAGCAAACAUUAUUUCAGGAUACAAAGACACUGCUAUGCCAUUAUUAAUAAAAUGUAAUUAA